rnacentral:rRNA from 1 species
CCGGAGGGUGCAAGCGUUAUCCGGAUUCACUGGGUUUAAAGGGUGCGUAGGAGGGCAGGUAAGUCAGUGGUGAAAUCUCCAAGCUUAACUUGGAAACUGCCGUUGAUACUAUCUGUCUUGAAUAUUGCGGAGGUGAGCGGAAUGUGUCAUGUAGCGGUGAAAUGCUUAGAUAUGACAUAGAACACCAAUUGCGAAGGCAGCUCACUACUCAAUCAUUGACUCUGAGGCACGAAAGCGUGGGGAUCAAACAGGAUUAGAUACCCUGGUGGUCCACGCCCUAAACUAUGGAUACUCGACAUACGCGAUAUACAGUGUGUGUCUGAGCGAAAGCAUUAAGUAUCCCACCUGGGAAGUACGACCGCAAGGUUG